rnacentral:rRNA from 1 species
CACGUAGGGUGCGAGCGUUGUCCGGAAUUAUUGGGCGUAAAGAGCUCGUAGGCGGUGUGUCGCGUCGACCGUGAAAACCUGCAGCUUAACUGUGGGCGUGCGGUCGAUACGGGCAUCACUGGAGUUCGGCAGGGGAGACUGGAAUUCCUGGUGUAGCGGUGAAAUGCGCAGAUAUCAGGAGGAACACCGGUGGCGAAGGCGGAUCUCUGGGCCUUACCUGACGCUCAGGUGCGAAAGCUAGGGGAGCGAACAGG